GGGGAUUUAGCUCAGUGGUUCUGGUGCCUGCCUCGAAAGCAUAAGGUCCUGAGUUCGAUCCCCAGUACCCCCC
rnacentral:tRNA from 1 species